rnacentral:tRNA from 1 species
AGCCGCCAGCGAGAUUCGAACUCGCGACCCCUGGUUUACGAGACCAGUGCUUUAACCUCUGAGCUAUGGUGGC